rnacentral:rRNA from 1 species
ACGGAAGGCAGCAGUGGGGAAUAUUGCACAAUGGGGGAAACCCUGAUGCAGCGACGCCGCGUGAAGGAAGAAGUAUCUCGGUAUGUAAACUUCUAUCAGCAGGGAAGAUAAUGACGGUACCUGACUAAGAAGCCCCGGCUAACUACGUGCCAGCAGCCGCGGUAAUACGUAGGGGGCAAGCGUUAUCCGGAUUUACUGGGUGUAAAGGGAGCGUAGACGGAAUGGCAAGUCUGGUGUGAAAGGCAUGGGCUCAACCUGUGGACUGCACUGGAAACUGUCGUUCUUGAGUGCCGGAGGGGUAAGCGGAAUUCCUAGUGUAGCGGUGAAAUGCGUAGAUAUUAGGAGGAACAUCAGUGGCGAAGGCGGCUUACUGGGCUUUAACUGACGCUGAGGCUCGAAAGCGUGGGGAGCAAACAGGAUUAGAUACCCUGGUA